rnacentral:lncRNA from 1 species
GCCCAUGAUAGAUGGUUAAUUCAAACAAUUGGGUAAGGCUUGUAAUGUGGUUGCCAAAGAAACACGAUUACUGUUUCACCUUGCAGACACACAAGGCAAGUUCUAGGCAUCAAAUGCAAUGCAUAGAAUAACACCCAAACCUCACACACACAUGGCAUAUAACUUACUCAGGAUUGGAUUCAUCAAGACACUCUAGUCAAAGCAAUUACGAAAAUUUAAAAUCAUACAAUUUAAGGUACUUAUACAAGAGUCAUAAAUUGAGCCUAAGCGUCACAACCAAAGUACUCGCUAUUCUCAAGGCAUAACAAAAACAAGAGAUAUUACUUCAAUUCAAAACACAACACAAUGGAUCCUAUUCCUAAAAAAACUAACUACACUCAGUUCAAAUAAAAUCUUUGGAAAAGAACCGCAGUACAAAGAAAAAUCAAGGGGAAAUUGCUACACUACCUAAUAAAAGAAAAUGUUUUUU